rnacentral:rRNA from 1 species
GAUGAACGCUGGCGGCGUGCCUAAUACAUGCAAGUCGAGCGAACAGACGAGGAGCUUGCUCCUCUGACGUUAGCGGCGGACGGGUGAGUAACACGUGGAUAACCUACCUAUAAGACUGGGAUAACUUCGGGAAACCGGAGCUAAUACCGGAUAAUAUAUUGAACCGCAUGGUUCAAUAGUGAAAGACGGUUUUGCUGUCACUUAUAGAUGGAUCCGCGCCGCAUUAGCUAGUUGGUAAGGUAACGGCUUACCAAGGCGACGAUGCGUAGCCGACCUGAGAGGGUGAUCGGCCACACUGGAACUGAGACACGGUCCAGACUCCUACGGGAGGCAGCAGUAGGGAAUCUUCCGCAAUGGGCGAAAGCCUGACGGAGCAACGCAGCGUGAGUGAUGAAGGUCUUCGGAUCGUAAAACUCUGUUAUUAGGGAAGAACAAAUGUGUAAGUAACGAUGCACGUCUUGACGGUACCUAAUCAGAAAGCCACGGCUAACUACGU